UCCAGACUCCUACGGGAGGCAGCAGUGGGGAAUAUUGCACAAUGGGGGGAACCCUGAUGCAGCGACGCCGCGUGGGUGAAGGAGUAUUUCGGUAUGUAAAGCCCUCUCAGCAGGGAAGAACAAUGACGGUACCUGACUAAGAAGCACCGGCUAAAUACGUGCCAGCAGCCGCGGUAAUACGUAUGGUGCAAGCGUUAUCCGGAUUUACUGGGUGUAAAGGGAGCGCAGGCGGCGCGUUAAGCCUGGUGUGAAAGCCCGCGGCCCAACCCCGGGACUGCUCUUGGAACUGCGUGGCUAGAGUGCAGGAGGGGCAGGCGGAAUUCCUGGUGUAGCGGUGAAAUGCGUAGAUAUCAGGAGGAACACCGGUGGCGAAGGCGGCCUGCUGGACUGCAACUGACGUUGAGGCCCGAAAGCGUGGGGAGCAAACAGGAUUAGAUACCCCAGUAAG
rnacentral:rRNA from 1 species